AACGAACGCUGGCGGCAGGCUUAGCACAUGCAAGUCGAGCGCCCCGCAAGGGGAGCGGCAGACGGGUGAGUAACGCGUGGGAAUCUACCCAUCUCUACGGAAUAACGCAUGGAAACGUGUGCUAAUACCGUAUACGUCCUUCGGGAGAAAGAUUUAUCGGAGAUGGAUGAGCCCGCGUUGGAUUAGCUAGUUGGUGGGGUAAAGGCCCACCAAGGCGACGAUCCAUAGCUGGUCUGAGAGGAUGAUCAGCCACACUGGGACUGAGACACGGCCCAGACUCCUACGGGAGGCAGCAGUGGGGAAUAUUGGACAAUGGGCGCAAGCCUGAUCCAGCCAUGCCGCGUGAGUGAUGAAGGCCCUAGGGUUGUAAAGCUCUUUCACCGGUGAAGAUAAUGACGGUAACCGGAGAAGAAGCCCCGGCUAGCUUCGUGCCAGCCGCCGCAGUAACAC
rnacentral:rRNA from 1 species